rnacentral:rRNA from 1 species
AUUGAACGCUGGCGGCAUGCCUUACACAUGCAAGUCGAACGGCAGCGGACCUUCGGGUGCCGGCGAGUGGCGAACGGGUGAGUAAUAUAUCGGAACGUACCUUUCAGUGGGGGAUAACGUAGCGAAAGUUACGCUAAUACCGCAUAUUCUGUGAGCAGGAAAGCAGGGGAUCGCAAGACCUUGCGCUGAUUGAGCGGCCGAUAUCAGAUUAGCUAGUUGGUGAGGUAAAGGCUCACCAAGGCGACGAUCUGUAGCGGGUCUGAGAGGAUGAUCCGCCACACUGGAACUGAGACACGGUCCAGACUCCUACGGGAGGCAGCAGUGGGGAAUUUUGGACAAUGGGCGCAAGUCUGAUCCAGCCAUGCCGCGUGAGUGAAGAAGGCCUCGGUUGGUAAGUACGUCUUUCGGUCCGGG